CCCAGGGGAAAGUCUCCGAGCGGCAACGCCUAGAAAGUAGGGCCCGUGAAGGGUGGGUCUGCGUGUGGACUGGCAAAGAUGUUCCGACGAACUAGCCUUCAGGUCGCAUGCAGGCUUUUAGCUAUAGCAAAGUUAUGUGAUUGGCCUCAAAGCGAGGCUAACUCAAUGGAGCUUAAUCUAG
rnacentral:RNase_MRP_RNA from 1 species